UGCUGGGCUGCAGCCGACAGGCAGCCUGCCAGCAGCAGGUCAGACACACUGGAGUAGCUGCCAGGAAGGGCCUGGCAGCCUCCUGCUGCGGCGUGAUGGGAACAGCUUUCCUUCAGAUGCGGAAACAGGGUCUCAUCCCUCUCCCUGUAGGUGGACGGUCUUAGUGAGGUCACCUGGCUCCUGCUGGAAUGAAGUGGCUCUGUCAGCUCUGAGGGAAGGAGAGGACGGGCCCUAGUGAGGGGCAGGGAGUGCAUCCUGGGGCUCCCCCCCUCUGCUCCUUUCCAGGCUGCCUUUGUGAAAACCAAGUUUCAGGCCAAGUGAGAGUACCCCGAGGAAGAGACCUUUGGGGGACUGCCCAGAGAGCUUUCCACCACAGCACCCACCUGCCCUCCCCCCGGACUCCUGGGCUCUACCUCACACAAGGCUCUGGUGGAUGAAUCGACAGAGGACAGGUUGCAGGCAUGUGGGAGCUGCCUUCAUGCCCCAGACCACAGCCAGAACCCCUCCCCACUGCCAGGUCCCAGGUCAGAUUGCCACAAGCCGGAGCAGGGGGGGAUGCCACACCCUACGGCUAGUCCUCCCUGCUGCGGAAGCCUGACCAUCUUUGUCUCCUGCCGCAGAGCCCAGUGCUGCCAGGCUCCUGUCAUCAUGGCUCGGCUCCAGCCUCGUCCCACACCCCCCCAGGGACAAAGCUUGAGCUGUGGAUGGCCAAUGCUGGGGCUCAGGGAUCAGUGUCGCCCACCCCUGCAUCAAGGGAAAAAUACACCCAACUCAGUGUUACCCCAGGGGAUAAAAGGCCCUUCCUCCACUCGGUGCCACCCCAGGGGUGCUCUCAGCUCUGUGCCCACACCCUUCGUCAGACGGGGUACAGGCAUGGGCAGGGCCUGGUGAGGCACCCAGCCUGCCCGCCCCACCCCCCCGCCUGCUCUCCCGUGCGCUCCUCUGGGCAUCAAUGAUUGAUGCCUGCUUGUGGUACUGCAGCAGCACAGCAAAAACAGCUCUGCCUCGUCCCUGCCCUGCCUUGCCCUGCCAUGGUCCACUAGAGGGCAUGGGGGCAUCUCCCUCCUUUACCUGGGGACAACGGGAGGGUACGGGCCUGCUGGUCUAGGAUCUCAGGACAACUUCCCCUCCCUCCCUGUGUACAGUGGCCCUGCCUCAGCCGCCUGUCCCCGAGCCAGGGCUGAGUGGCUCCUAGGUCCCCUCCUCUGCACCCUACAGCCCAGCACAUGGCUGGGCUCCAGUAGCUGGGCAGUGGGGGUCAUGUUGGGGGCUGCAUUGUUCCUUUUGCCCCUGUGUCUAGGCCACCCUUCUGGCAAUGGGCUUAGCUGGCUCUGGAGCUAACCCUGCUGCCCAGACAUCACAGGCUGACAGAGGCCACAGACUGGGGUCCCAGGAUCCUGGAGAAGCAGGACACCUGGGGACUGCAGGAGAAUGAGGAUGACCUCAAGCUCCUGCAGAACAGCACCUUCCCUGGGCCCCAAACUGCACUUUCUCCUGAGGCUGGGACGGUAAAGUCCCAGAGAGGAAGCUGCCUGCCCUUCCAGGGCUGGGGCUCUGGUGGACACUGAUUUGGAAGGGCAGCCUGGGACGGUCACCUGGGCUCCUCCUCCUGACACACUGCAUAUAGCCCCUCCAGGGGCUCUGAGGGUCAUGGCCUGUGUCCUCCACACCCCAGCUUUGAUGGGAACCAACUUCCUCUGGCCCACUCUCCCCAAGCAGAUGGCACCAAAUAGGCUUGAACAGCUGGUCGCUCUGCAGCCAGGCCCCUCAGGGAGCCCCUGGUGGCCAUCCCUGGGCUUGCACCCGGUGUGGCUGCACCAUGAUGAAGCAGGACAAGUCCCCUGGAUGCCGUCCCAAGGACAGAAGCCACCUACCACACCCUUCUACAGCCAGGGCUGGCUACUGAGGAGAGGGUCCCCUCUGCCUUUCCUCAAGGCAGCCUUUCCUAGUGGGCUUACCAGGGACCCCCCAGGCACGUUAGCUGCCUGGGUUAGAACAACCCACUCUGGAUGUUGGAGGCCUCAAGGGAGCCCUGUCUCCUUGUCUUCCUUGCUUCUGAGUAUCAGCACUGCUGGGCUCCUGGCCCUGUGUCUCCAACCUCUGCUUGAAUUUUACAUCUAUGACCCUGACCUCCCGUUUCCUUCUUUUCUUUUUGAGACAGGGUCUUGCUAUGUGUGUAGGCUGGCCUUGAACUUACUACAUAGA